rnacentral:lncRNA from 1 species
AAACUACAGAGCAGGAAGUAAAGAUCCUGGUAUCUCCUUCUCUUCCUCUUUCUGCUGCACCAGAGGAAGAAGGGGGACCAAUCCCCAAUGAAAUCUUCAUCAAAGAUGUUCCUGCUACCUUUUCUCCAUGGGCAGUCAUUGCAGUGAUUCUGGGGAUCUUUAGCUUAUUGUUGAUGAUAACAUCUGGAUUCUUUGGUUACCAAUGAAACUAUUCUGCACCUUGUCUGAAACACUGGAAACAGUACAAAGAUAAUUGCUACCACCAAACUCUCAAGGCUGUGUCUUGGUUUAACUGUUCUAAUCUUUGUGUCUCCAUGAAUUCUACAUUUUUACAAUCAGGAAAUGAUAUGCUAGUGGUAAGGAGGAUGCCUUUUCA